rnacentral:rRNA from 1 species
UACAGAGGGUGCAAGCGUUAAUCGGAAUUACUGGGCGUAAAGCGCGCGUAGGCGGCUGCCUAAGUCGGAUGUGAAAGCCCCGGGCUCAACCUGGGAACUGCAUUCGAUACGGGCAGGCUAGAGUGUGGUAGGGGAGAUCGGAAUUCCUGGUGUAGCGGUGAAAUGCGCAGAUAUCAGGAGGAACACCGGUGGCGAAGGCGGAUCUCUGGGCCAUUACUGACGCUGAGGAGCGAAAGCGUGGGGAGCGAACAGG